ACGGCGAAAGGUUACCUCCCCUUUCUCGUAUUUUGCCCGCCCACAUUAUUUGUCCCGACCGCCCAUGAGAAAAUGAGUUACGAACGUGUACACACAGUUCUUUGCUUGAGAGACACCGUGGCUUGCAAACGAGCGAAUCAUCGCAGUUGCUCAGUGUUUGGAUGUACAAAACCUCGAAAAACAGGCCAGCCCACCAAGUGCUUGCAUUCAGCAGCUUCUCUCAAGGGAUGUUGCCUGCCAGACAGAGCACCUGGAAACGCGUAUUUGUAGGCACACAGCUAUCCUUAAAGACUUUGCAGCCCCAUUUUAAAAGUGAAGAAGACUACGAUGCCUUUGGAGACCGUAGCACUCAGCGUGGCGCCACCUCAGAGAUUCUGGGUGUGGACGCCCCUGGCUCCUCCCACUGGUCCAGUCACAGCGAGGAACUGGUGGUUAGCGAAAUAAAGAAUAUUUUGGCAUUUUUGCACUUGUAAAUAGUUAAUCACACUCAGAUGUGAACUCAUUCUUGCAUUCGAGGUUCUUCAAUCCACAAAAUAAAUACACAGGCAAGACAUUGAAAUUGCAGGACGUGCCAAUCAGCGACCGAACCAGCUUGGCAGUGUAAAAACGUCUAAUCUGUCAGUAGUGGGGAUUGACAACUAUUCUGUGAAAAUGAAAGAAUAUGUCUUGUGUUUGUUUCCUUCUUAAUGUGUAAAGCAGCAGACGCCAGACAUCAUUUCAAUCAAGGUUGAAGAGGAUAUUGGUGGAGGCUUGCCCGCCGUAGAAGACUGCGAUGCCUUUGUAGACCGUGGCACUCAGUGUGGCGCCACCUCAGAGAUUCUGGGUGUGGUCGCCCCUGGCUCCUCCCACUGGUCCAGUCGCUGCGAGGAAUUGGUGCAGACCCCAGACACCAUUUCAAUCAAGGUUGAAGAGGAUAUUGGUGGAGGCUUGCCCGC